rnacentral:rRNA from 1 species
GACCAGACUCGCCCGCGGGGUUCAGCCGGCAUUCGUGCCGGUGUACUUCCCCGUGGGCGGGCCAGCGUCGGUUUGGGCGGCCGGUCAAAGGCCCCUGGAAUGUAGUACCCUCCGGGGUACCUUAUAGCCAGGGGUGCAAUGCGGCCAGCCUGGACCGAGGAACGCGCUUCGGCACGGACGCUGGCAUAAUGGUCGUAAACGACCCGUCUUGA